rnacentral:rRNA from 1 species
UACAGAGGUGGCAAGCGUUGUUCGGAAUUACUGGGCGUAAAGGGCGCGUAGGCGGUCUUGCAAGUCCCGUGUGAAAUCCCUCGGCUCAACUGAGGAACUGCACGGAAAACUGCAAGGCUUGAGUACAGAAGAGGAAAGUGGAAUUCCACGUGUAGCGGUGAAAUGCGUAGAUAUCAGGAGGAACACCGGUGGUGUAGACGGCUUUCUGGACCGUAACUGACGCUGAGACACGAAAGCGUGGGUAGCAAACAGG